GGAUGGAUGGGAGAGGUUGUAGUUUGAAAUAGUUCUAAUAUAUUUUUAUUAUUUGUUUCAAACAGCAACAUCAUCAAAGUGCUACGACAGCAACAACCCAGAGCUGAACUCCACAGCCUGGUUUGCAGAGUACAUCGGCUCUUUCAUCACUUUUCUCACUGUGGUGGAUCUUCAGUCAUUUGGAUCUCAACAGGACCUGCAGCUGUUCACAGUGAAUCCUCAGAAUCUUCUCCUUCUUAAUCAGUAUAAGGUGGAUGUGACAAUAGUUAUCUACUACAUUCAGUUAGUUUAUCAGCAAGAUAUCCACUUCAGUCCACUUGGCCUUCCUUCAUUGGGUCAGUGCUUUGCUCCUGGCCGGGCGUUCACUCAGUUGACUUCACAAGAAAGUUUGACGGUUUUGGGAAAUGUCAACAGAGUUUGUACAGACCUAGAUCCACAGGUAAAUAAAACAAUAA